GAUGAACGCUGGCGGCGUGCCUAAUACAUGCAAGUCGAGCGAACAGACGCGGAGCUUGCUCCUCUGACGUUAGCGGCGGACGGGUGAGUAACACGUGGAUAACCUACCUAUAAGACUGGGAUAACUUCGGGAAACCGGCGCUAAUACCGGAUAAUAUAUUGAACCGCAUGGUUCAAUAGUGAAAGUCGGUUUUGCUGUCACUUAUAGAUGGAUCCGCGCCGCAUUAGCUAGUUGGUACGGUAACGGCUUACCAAGGCAACGAUGCGUAGCCGACCUGAGAGGGUGAUAGGCCACACUGGAACUGAGACACGGGCAAGACGCCUACGGGAGGCAGCAGUAGGGAAUCUUCCGCAAUGGGCGAAAGCCUGACGGAGCAACGCCGCGUGAGUGAUGAAGGUCUUCGGAUCGUAAAACUCUGUUAUUAGGGAAGAACAAAUGUGUAAGUAACUAUGCACGUCGUGACGGUAACGAAUCAGAAAGCCACGGCUAACUACGUG
rnacentral:rRNA from 1 species